GAUGAACGCUAGCGGCAGGCUUAAUACAUGCAAGUCGAGGGGCAGCACGGGUAGCAAUACCUGGUGGCGACCGGCAAACGGGUGCGGAACACGUACGCAACCUUCCCAAAACUGGUGAAUAGCCCUCCGAAAGGAGGAUUAAUACACCGUACCAUCCCGACACGGCAUCGUGACGGGAUUAUAGGCUUCGGUCGGUUUUGGAUGGGCGUGCGCCUGAUUAGGUAGUUGGCGGGGUAACGGCCCACCAAGCCNGCGAUCAGUAACUGGUGUGAGAGCACGACCAGUCACACGGGCACUGAGACACGGGCCCGACUCCUACGGGAGGCAGCAGUAAGGAAUAUUGGUCAAUGGACGCAAGUCUGAACCAGCCAU
rnacentral:rRNA from 1 species